GCAUAUCAAUAAGCGGAGGAAAAGAAACUAACAAGGAUUCCCCUAGUAGCGGCGAGCGAAGCGGGAAAAGCUCAAAUUUGUAAUCUGGCGUCUACGACGUCCGAGUUGUAAUCUCGAGAAGUGUUUUCCGUGAUAGACCGCAUACAAGUCUCUUGGAACAGAGCGUCAUAGUGGUGAGAACCCAGUACACGAUGCGGAUGGCCUAUUACUUUGUGAUACACUUUCGAAGAGUCGAGUUGUUUGGGAAUGCAGCUCAAAUUGGGUGGUAAAUUCCAUCUAAAGCUAAAUAUUGGCGAGAGACCGAUAGCGAACAAGUACCGUGAGGGAAAGAUGAAAAGCACUUUGGAAAGAGAGUUAACAGUACGUGAAAUUGUUGGAAGGGAAACACAUGCAGCCAGACUUGCUAUUCGGGGCAACUCGAUUGGCAGGCCCGCAUCAGUUUUUCGGGGCGGAAAAGCAUAGAGAGAAGGUAGCAAUUUCGGUUGUGUUAUAGCUCUUUAUUGGAUUCGCCCUGGGGGACUGAGGAACGCAGCGUGCUUUUAGCAUAAGCUUCGGCUUAUCCACGCUUAGGAUGCGGGUGUAAUGGCUGUAUAUGACCCGUCUUGAAACACGGACC
rnacentral:rRNA from 1 species